CAUUUUCACCCUAUCCCUAAAACCACGCACACAACUACAACAUUUUUCCUCUGCUCCCCUCUCGUGACCGAGCACCGGCGACCGGAGAGCUCCGACCGGCCACUGGUUAUCUCCGGCGAACCACCACGACUCCCCUCUCACACCACUCUCAUACGCACACCAUCCUGUAACUCAGAGAAAGAGAGGCGCUGUACACGGCGGCGACGCGACGUCAAGAUCAGAAGAGACGGAGUGAGAGAAAGAAGAGAGAGGGAGAGAGACGUCAGAGGGGGAAAGAGAAUGACGACAUCGACGGCAGACGGGCAGCUGCGGCGGCGGUGGUGGAUCUCGACGGCAGCUGGUCGUGAUGACACGGCUGCGCCGCUACUCACGGUGGAGGUGGCGAUGGAUUUCGACACCCCCCCUAAAUCGAGUUCCCUGAAUGUGAUUCCGGCUUCUGAUCAUUCCGAUUUGGUAACGAUGGUGGCUGUACUGGUUGACGACAGCCGCACUUCGUGACUUCUCAGGUGGGGUGUGGUUGUUCCGGUUUGAAUUUUAGCUUCGGUUCAAGUCAGAUUUGAUUUGGUUUAACUCGGGUUGACUAGGUCAAACCGAGUCAACUCAUUGUUCGGGUUAGCGACAGUGGAGCCGGAAAACGGCAGUGAUGUCGGCUGGAUUGGUGGUGGAUAUCCUCGGAUUGGGUUUCGAUUCACAUUCGGUGUAAGUUUGGUUCAACUCGGUUAACAAAGUCAAACCAGUCAACACGUCAGGUUGACUGGUCAACGCUGGUCAACAGGAGUCAAGGGCAGUCAACAACAGUCAACGGAUUGGUUUCGGGUCAACAGCGGUCAAACAGGUCAAGCGAGGUCAACUCAGGACCCGGUAACGACUUAAACAUAGCGAGAUUUAUUGAUUUCGUUGUUUUUUUUAGUCUACGCGAACCGAGCUUGAACCGCCGUACUCUAGUUUAUUUAUUUUAGUGUUCGUUAUAUUUUGCGAAAGAUAUAUAUAAAUGUGAUUGGUUUAUUGUUGAGAAUGCUUUAGUUGCACGCUAGCGAGUUCACAUUCGUGGGAUGACACUACGGAAUCACACUAAGCUAGCUUUGCACAGGAAUAUCUAGGUUUACACUAAACAUACCGGUUUUACAUGACAAACACAUGUCAAAGUUCACAAGGUUCAAUGCAAGCGAACUCGAUGCUAGGGCGAGAUAUGAAAUACUUAAGACAAGACCCGAGGAAUACCCUAGGCGAGCAUGUACGGACCUGUUAACCAUGGUGAACCAGCUAGACCGAUUCAACAACAUCGUGACAG
rnacentral:lncRNA from 1 species